rnacentral:pre_miRNA from 1 species
UCUUAUGGCUGAUUAGAGAAAGUGAUUUCUUGAGAUGGAAUCUACUUCUGGUAAUGAUGCUGUGAA